rnacentral:rRNA from 1 species
CGUUCCCGGGUCUUGUACACACCGCCCGUCAAGCCACCCGAGUUGACUGCACCCGAAACCGUUUCUCCUGACCCGCAAGGGGGGGAGGCGUCUAAGGUGUGGUUGGUGAGGAGGGCU